rnacentral:snoRNA from 1 species
AACCCAUGGUGAGGGCACUCUCUUCGGUACUCCUUGUACCUCUCCCAAGCUUCGCAGAAAGCUUUACCAGGUUGCUGUUUAAACGACGAGAUCUUGUUCUUCAGAGC